rnacentral:tRNA from 1 species
UGGGGUAUCGCCAAGUGGUAAGGCAUCGGACUCUGACUCCGACAUUCCAAAGGUUCGAAUCCUUUUACCCCAGCCA